UACGUAGGGUGCAAGCGUUGUCCGGAAUUAUUGGGCGUAAAGAGCUCGUAGGCGGUCUGUCGCGUCGGCUGUGAAAACUUGGGGCUCAACCCCAAGCCUGCAGUCGAUACGGGCAGACUAGAGUGCGGUAGGGGAGACUGGAAUUCCUGGUGUAGCGGUGGAAUGCGCAGAUAUCAGGAGGAACACCGAUGGCGAAGGCAGGUCACUGGGCCGCAACUGACGCUGAGGAGCGAAAGCAUGGGGAGCGAACAGG
rnacentral:rRNA from 1 species